rnacentral:misc_RNA from 1 species
AGAAAAAGAAGAAGAAAAGCAAACCAAACAAAGCUCGGAUGUCAACAACAACAAAGCUAACCAUGUAGAAGGCGGCGGAAGGAAGAUCAUGGCAGACCCUUGGUUUCAGAAAGUUCCAAAGUACCAGUCGAAGGUCGCAAUUGACUCUCGCUUUAACUGCAUUCACCGAUAAAAACUUUGCCUCCUCUUCCGCACACAAGCUGGUAAGCCUAAGAAGCACAACUCGGAAAGUUCUGCCCCAUUACUAUCGAAUCGAGGAAGAAGAUGAUGAAAGAAAACAGAUGAAGAAGUAAAUGAAGAUCGUGACCGAUGAAAUGUAGAGGAAGUAGAAGAAGAAGGUGAGAACGUUGAAUUGAGGAAAUUGGAUCUCGCGGCAAAGGGAAGCGAGUAGAGUAGUCAGUCGGAGUCAGAGGCGUCGGAAUACUGACAAGGAGGAUGAGGAGAUACUUUAUGAGGAGGAUUUGCCCGAAGUAGAGGUAUGCUUUGAGGUCAAUUGUAAUAUUGUUGCUAAGAAAAAGGGGAAAAUUUUAUGAACGUUACGUUCUAAGUUAAUUUUCCUGGUUUUUUGAACUCUAUUCUUAGUCCUUUCAAUGUGAUGAAUUUUCAAAGAUAAAUUUUCUCAGUAUUUUAUCUUGAAGAUAAGAAAUCCCCAGUUGUUG